rnacentral:lncRNA from 10 species
CUUCGGUGGCUGUCUCUCGAUUUAUCCGUCCCGGACAUUCUGCACUGAGCUCCUUCCCUGGCAGUGAGGGGUUUGCCUCCUUAGACCCCAUGAAGAGCCUCCCUCUGAAGCUCUUGUCCUCUGCUGUCCUCAGGACUCAGCUGAGAGGCUGCUCUCUGGCCUCCCCAGCCUCAGGGGCUCCCUUCCCAGGACCCAGUCACACUCGCCCUGCUACAGGGCUUGUUCUUGGCUGGCCAUCCUUGCAGAGGGCGGGGGCUGCCUCUGCCCUCAGUGGGGCGUGGCCUGAGGGUUCGAGGAGGCCGAGGAGGAAGGCAAGUGGGCAGGCAGGAGUGAGGACACGGGGCUCUCUGACCUGCCGAUGGCCAGCCAGGUGGACGGAGGCCCUUCCCACCUCCUGCAGAGAGCUGUGGGCCUCUGCCUCUCUCAGUGUGGACCUAACAGACCUGAGACCACAGCACGGCUUCUCUUGCUUGGGAAAACCCGAAUUUGCUCAAAUAAUUCCGCCACUGUCUGCUGAGUGCCAGGCACAGUGCUGGGGCUGGGACGAGAAAGGCCCUGCCCACAGCCUCGCCCUGCGGCCCAGAAAACACUUGUAAGGCCGGAGCCCAAGCCGCCAUCUUUUCUGCAGGUGCUGUUUGGGAGAAGGUUCUAGGACAUCUUGGAAUCGUUAGGCUCAGCCACGUGGAUGCAGGGAAUGCUGUGCACCUGCGGCCUCCAGACCCCGGAACGGCUCUUGUGGGCCUCAUCAUCUCCAGGCUGAGCCAUAAGCUGUGUCCUCCUGGGAACACAGACUUUCUCUUCCAACAUCAUGGGCCAUGAGGAGCAAGAGGUGGACGGAGAGGUGGAGAUGGCACAGGAUGGAGAAAAUCAAAGCAAAGCAAAAGAAAAUUGCUGCUUUGCAGAGAGCCUGCAGGAGUUCUGACGAUUUGGCCGUUAGCACGAGCUACCUGCCCAGAAAGGAAGCUGAGAGAAGGGCCUUCAUAAAAGGUGAGAUGCUGUUACCAUGGGAUCAUGGAGGUGACCUGCUCCCAGUGGUCUUGAAACAGGGACACUAAACUGAUCCCUCUGCUACACUGGGAGCCAACAAGAAAAUGAAUUUCUCCCCUCAGAACUGUGGUAUAAUGGAAGUGCCUUUUUGUCUGGCGCAUUUAAAGAGCUUAGAUUUGGAAUCGUGCUUUGAGUUGAAAUUCUGAAUUCAAUCCAAAGUUGCAGGAAGGACCUUCCCCCAGCAGCAAAAUAAAAUCCCCCUGGUCAAGAAGUGUUCUUUUUGAUUGGACCCUGGUUUGGGGGAAAUGGUUAGGUUAUUUAUUUUAAAUGACAUUUCUGCCCUUCAGUUUUGAGAUUUUCAGAAAGCAUGACUCCCCCAAAGGGCCAAGUGGCUCAAGAAGAAGGAUGUUUCAGUUUUUGUUGUUUUCAAAAUAAAUAUCUUUCUAAAAUUGUUCCUUUUAAAGCGGACUAGGUUUUCUCUUUCCUUAGUUGAACAAGUUGAAGAAAAUCAUGUCAUCACUUGGCUCUCAACCACUCUGAUGAUUCUGUUUUACCUGGCAAUUUAUGUGAAGGGUGUGAUACAUAGUUUAACCUUCCUAAUUGGGGGACGCACUGUCUGAAUUAGUGAC